UGGAAGCCAUACAUGCACCUAAGAAG
rnacentral:piRNA from 1 species